UUAACUGGGUAGAUGAACCCGGGCUCGGGUUCGAAUUUGGGUUCGGGUAAACGGGGAUUUUGGUGUCAUCUAAAGCGGCUUUCGCAAGAGCUCCUUGUUCUUCUUUGAAACGUAAAUCUCUGAAACAUUUUGAGCAUAAAUUUAAAGUUGCUGGGCUUCCAAAAAAUCCACAAUUAUUUGCACAUGAUCUGUGACCUUGAUCUUGGGCUUGAAAUUCAUGUUCUUCAGCCAUUUUUUUGAUUUAAUUACAAAUUUUCAACAAGCAGCAACCAAGGAAUGAAACGCUGAAAUGAAGAAGAAUGGGUUUAUACAAUCACGUGAAGUGACAGUCAACGGUUAAAUUAAACGGUCAAAGGGUAAAAAUCGUUAUAAGGUGGUGUUUUGUAAAGAAAUGUACUAUAUAAAGUAGUUUUUUGCAAAAAAUUUUACAUAAGGUAGUUUUUUAUAAAAAGAGGCAUAGAUUAGAUAGUUUUUUAUAAUUUUCUCUAUUAUUUAUUAGGAUUAUUAUAACCGCGUAUUGAAAAUAUUGAAAUUGUAAUUUGUAACCUCCUACUUAUUAAGGAGUAAAUAAAUGAUAAUUGAUACUCCCUCCCUUUGCAACAAUUAAGAUUUCACUUAUAUUGGAAUAUGAAUUUACUUUUACGAUUGCUCCAUCUAAAAUAGUCCAGAACUCCAGAUUGAAGCUACUCAUCAAAAGUUCGGAACAUAAUCAAGUACACAGGAAAAAAAUAAAAUUCAGCGCCCUGCCCUCAAUUACAAGUCAUUGAAAAACUGUAUUAUUUUCUUAUCUCCAAAUUUCUGACCAAAAUAGCAGAAGAAUGAAGAGAUGUUCUAGGAAGAAAAGCCUUGAAAUACCUGCAAUUUGACCGCCCUUCGACGAAACAAUGCAGGAAUACAAGAAGAGGCGCCAGCCAUAUAAGAAGAAAGUCAGACAGACUUAAUCUUUUAUAUUGAAUUCUCCAUUAAAGUAAUAUUUUGAUGCUGAUGCUGAUCUUGGUGAGGAAAUCAUAUGACACAUUCCCUGGACAAAUGACACAAAUGUCGAAUGUAGUCAUGGAAAUGGCAAUGGAAAUGGAAAUGGAAACGGAAAUGACAAAGGCAACAAAGCAAGUUUCGAAGGUGGAGGAGGCGAUGAAGGUAAAGAAUGCAACAAUCAAGACGAGUUCAUAGGAAUCGAGUGGUGGUGGUGGUGGAAGUGGCACCAAGCUUGUUGUGGAACUCAAAAUGGUGCAACCCAAUCGCCCUUAUGGCCAGUAGAUGCAGCAGUCCAAGUGAUGGCCAAUGAGGUGAUGGAAAGUAUUGAACCAGCAGUACAAGCUAUAGUAAUUGAACCAAUUAGACAGCAAAUAAAUAUGAGAGGGUUGAUUAUAGUGUUAGUGUUAGGAGUCUUUGUUAUUUCUAGCAUACAAAUGGUUGCUGGACUUGCAGUUAUGUCUAUGGGGGUUUCAUUAGCUGGUGUAGCAUCCAUUGUCUUAGCAACACUUAUGUGGUGGCCUUGGAAGAAAAAUGGUUGUCAAAGACAUGAUAAUGGAGAAUCAUAGAGGAUUAGUAGUGUCUAAUGUCUUUGGUUGGAGCAUCUACCACCUUUUCUAGAUUAGGCCAUGGCCCAUGGGUUUUCAUUGCCCCACUCCUCGCUCUCCCCUCCCCUCAGCCUAUUCGCUCUCCCCUCCCCUCAGCCUAUUCUGUAUGUACUAAAAUAAAAAACUUGUUAAAUUUGUUCUCCUCUUCUGCUUAUUUUCAGUUUUAGUUCAUUUAUAGUUGAUUUUUAGUAUACAAAUCACCUUUGGCUCAACAAUGCAUCAAUAAUGUUUCAUGCUAGUGUCCAAAUAAGGGUUACCAUUACUUUAUGGGUAGAUAUUUUUACGUGUUUAAUGGCGAAUUCAGAAUAUUAGUAUAGGAUGGGUCAUUUCUAUAUGUAUACUGAACCAUCGUGAUUGCUUAAUUGUAAUUAAGGCUAUUUGUUGUGAAGCCUCAUAAUAUAUUAUAUACUUUGUCAAUAUGCUCCUUUAGUUUUUUAUGUUUUCUUCGAAAUUAAUAUAUUCAUCAAGUUUUGGGCUAAGAAAUUCAAUUCACAUCAAAUUGUUAGGAAACAAAAAAAAAUUAACAAAACCUAACUUAUAAAAAUAUUACAAAUUGAGUAUUGUCUCGAUUACUGUUGAAACAUGU